CGACUGUCGAAGAGGACAAUCGAGGCGCUUCUUGUGUCGCUGCCGUCUGCCUUUGAUGAGCAUCAUGCACGUCCGCUCUGCACUGAGCUGCUGAGGCCUUCAGGGCAACUCGGGAAUGUCAACAACCGAGGCCGACGGGAAAGCAGGACGCCGUUGACAGAGCCAUGAGAGGAGAGAGAGAAAGCGCUCCCACAAAGGAGGUGGGGAAAGAGAGAAGCCCAUAAAAAGACUCUUUGCUACUUCCAGUUUGGACUGAAAAACAAACUGCAGUAAGUAGGAGUGAGUAUACUUCAUUAACAACUAAAACUAAAGACAACGAUGACGAAGAUGGAAGAGGGAAUGAAAGGCAGCACACUGGUUUUGUGUUGCGUUUUUCCUUACAGAUUAUCAUCUGAACCUGAAGAAUUCUAUCUCCUAAUCCCGGUAUGAGAAAUAAUCUCAUGCUUCAUGUAUGGAAAACUGGAUGAUGAAUUUCUUGUCCCGGCAACAAAACUACAGAUAUCCAGGAUGGACCUCAAAGACCAAGCAGUGAAUCUUCUAAACAAGAUUUGGGCCAAACUGCAGGGUUUGCCCAAUGCCAGCCCCGUCGAGCUCGGAGCUUUCUUCAUCCUCUUAACAUUCAUCUUGGUUGUUGUUGCCAUGGCCGUCCUGAUCUGCACGACAUACUGCUGCUGUUGCUGCUGCCGCAAGGAGAAAAGGCAGGGCGCAAACAUUUGAAGGCAUCUAAACUACACCCGUCUUCUACACCGCUUAUCCUCAUUAAGUUAAGCUAAACCACUUAUCAAACUUAAAAGACAGGUUUGCUCCGAGGUUGCUCAGACAAUUCGUGACAGGAGUGCUGCCCGUGCAAAUGCGGUCAGGCGAGAUGUGUCCAGGGGGCUCGAAGAGGCCCAGCCCUCCAACAACAAAGCAACUGACACCAACAGUGAUGUCUUGACUGGCAGCCUAACACACCCUCUGAAGUUGACUGUCAAGACAAUCGGCAUUCCUUGGAUCGGUCAUGUACAAGAAAAUCUCUCCUGGCUGGACGACAAGACAUACCCAACCAAAUCAUAUUUAAACAAGUAUACACGUAAAAUAAUAUGGGGUAAGUCAACAACAUGAUUUAGGUGAACAUGUUUUUUUCUCCACCUUUCUUAUUUCAGAACAACAUGAAGUACAUUCACAUUAAAAUGUUUUUAACUGCCUGCCUUAACUUCAUAACUGCUGUAAGGAAUGAUGUUUAUUGUAGUGAGCUGCUUUUGGAGGACAUCCUAAAACCACAAAGUUGUGCUCAUUGAGUGGUCAAACCUGCCAUCUGCUGUACAAAGAAGGAAAUAAAUUCCUUUCCAACUCGAACUUAGUUAUACAGUAUUAAACAUGCAGCCAAUGCAUAAAACAAAGGGGUUG